rnacentral:rRNA from 1 species
AGAGUUUGAUCCUGGCUCAGGACGAACGCUGGCGGCGUGCCUAACACAUGCAAGUCGAACGGGGUAGCAAUACCCAGUGGCGAACGGGUGCGUAACACGUGAAGAAUUUGUCCAACGGUGGGGGAUAGCCGGCCCAACGGCCGGGUAAUACCGCGUACGACCUUCGGGGGGCAUCCUCUGGGGGUGAAAGUCGCAAGACGCCGAUGGAGAACUUCGCGGCCUAUCAGCUAGUUGGUGAGGUAAUGGCUCACCAAGGCGACGACGGGUAGCUGGUCCGAGAGGAUGACCAGCCACAUUGGGACUGAUACACGGCCCAGACUCCUACGGGAGGCAGCAGUGGGGAAUAUUGCGCAAUGGGCGAAAGCCUGACGCAGCGACGCCGCGUGUGGGAUGACGGCCUUCGGGUUGUAAACCACUGUCGGGAGGGACGAAGAUCUGACGGUACCUCCAAAGGAAGCACCGGCUAACUCUGUGCCAGCAGCCGCGGUAAUACAGAGGGUGCGAGCGUUGUCCGGAAUCACUGGGCGUAAAGGGCGCGUAGGUGGCUUGGUAAGUAGGGGGUGAAAUCUCGUGGCUCAACCGCGAGACGGCCUCCUAGACUGUCAGGCUCGAGCAGAGUAGAGGCAGGUGGAAUUCCCGGUGUAGCGGUGGAAUGCGUA